rnacentral:pre_miRNA from 1 species
UUGAAGUCAAAAUGGGAAAUUCGGUUUAGUCUUUUGUUCUUCAAUUUGACUUUAUUUUGCCAACGUUUAGAUCCUGGAUGGGAUCUUCUUCAAGACCUCAAAUAUAGUCAAAUUGAAGAACAAAGGAUUAGACCGAAUUUCCCACUUUGACUUGAGUUA